GCCGCUGUGUCGCAAUGGCAGCGUGUUUGACUUCUAAUCAAAAGGUUGCGGGUUCGAGUCCCGUCAGUGGCU
rnacentral:tRNA from 1 species